UUCUUUCCUACAAAGGACAGUCUUUGUGC
rnacentral:piRNA from 1 species